rnacentral:lncRNA from 10 species
GGAAAUUGAGCUGGCUCUUCUAAUCUCCUCUAGAGCUCCACGUUCCUGGGGUUUAAGUAGAACAUCCAGGCCUCUCAGUGAGCCAGAAAAGCCCAUUUCUACCUUGUGAUGGGGAAGAUGAAAAUUCUGUGAGUCUCCUACGUGGGAAAGGGUCCGGCUUGCCUGCAGGAUGCUGACUGCGUGGCACCUAAACACAGAAAGUUCUGGAAGAUUCCUUGCCCCUGUGUAGGCUUAAAUAUCGUUCACUAGCUCUGACAGUCCACCCAGGCCCUGGGCAACAUGUUCCAGGGCAGAGCAGGUUGGCACAAGAUGGACAUGGUCAUGGUGCCUUCCACGGUCACGGGACCCUGGGGACAGCAGACACCGCCCAAGAAGGAAUCUCAGGGACCUGUGGGCAUCCCUGUUUUUGUGCCUCUGGGUUCUAUCACCUGACUUCCCCCAACAAUGAGCUCUGCACAUGGCCAGGGAUCUCUGCACACGUCCAGGGAGCUCUGCACAUGGUCAGCCAGCUCUGCACACGGCCAGGAACUCUGCACACCAUCAGGGAUCUCUGCACACAGCCAGGAACUCUGCACACGGUCAGCGAGCUCUGCACACAGCCAGGGAGCUCUGCACAUUGUCAGGGAACUUUGAAAGGGCUGGGCAGGUCACCUUCCUUUCACCCCCAAGUGAGUGAGGCUGCAAUGGGGUGUCCAUGUCCUUGGACAAAGCUCCAAAGCUUCUAGCUUCUCUGAAGCUCACAGAGGUGUCAGCUUGGUGGGGAAGGUGCCAAGGCAGGGCCCUGGAGAUGGGGACAGGGACUGCCCACUUCCAUUUGCCAAAGUCUCAGCAAAUGAAACAUGAGGGAAUGAAUGCUCAAAGAGGGCUGCAAACAAUCGCCAACAAGGAAUCAGUUGGUGGCUUCUAAAGAGAACAUGAUACCGUCAUGUAGCUGCCUGUCCAGACGCUGAAGCCUGUGCUUUCACCGGACCCUAGUGCUUGUGAAUGACGACCUCUGUUCUCCUGGGUCAAAACUUCCUUCACCACCGUCAAGAAGGCCACCCUUUGUCGGCGGGUUAAAUGCAGUGUUAUUUACAUAUGGUUUAUCUGGGCAUCUAUAAUCCCAGGGCGAGAGCCCACCAUCCACCAGCAUUUUGGAAGAACGCCUGAGACCUGAGACCUGAGACCUGGUGCAAUGGAAUCAGAUUCCCUGGUAGCUGCUUUUAAUGGUGACAGAUUCUCUGAAACAGAAAAAGAUUGAAUUGAGUCUGUCUCCCUGGAGUCGUCCUGCUCUGGGAGAUGCAGAGGGAGGGCGGCAGGAGGGAGGACAGUGGGAGGCCUCUGUUGGUCAAUUGCUAGGCUGCUGUCACCAGAUGGUGGAUGGCGUUUGUACAGCACUGGCCAAGGGCCCAGCUCAGCAGGGCCAGAGCCUCAGGUCAUGUCGCAGGUGAGCAAAGCAGCGUGGAUGGAAGACGAAGAUCUUCGUCCCACGGAGGGCUUGCUGUGCGCCCCGCAGGACGCAGAUCACCGGGAAGAGCAGGAAGCAGAAGCGCAGGAAAGCCAAUGCUGUGACUGAGGCGUGGCCAGCAAGCCAGGCCCUCCAGCCACACCCUGCUCCAAAGGGGCUCCGACAGGAUGGACUGAUGAUUUCCAAGAGAGAACAUGCUUUUUAUCUUCUAUGGAAUUUUGCUACCAAAGAGCCUCCCAGCUACCUGUGCCCUUCCCUAACCUGACAAUCUUAAUUCCCCCAUGAAACUCCUCCAUCGCGGACAUUUGGACAACUCCAGGCUGAGUUUUUCCUAAGGCCACUCUGGCCUUGUGCGUCUCUUCUUUGCUAAGCUGUGUGCCAGCCGCCAGCCCACAUCUGGGUUGUACCAUGAUCCUAACUCCUCACCUGAACACAGCAUUUAACAGACUGAAACGUGCCACUCUGGAGCUGGGGACUUCAAGCCACAUUUCGCCUGCAGCCCGAUCGCCUUCAAUCUUUAGCAAAAUCCUCUUUCUCAUGCAAAACAGUGCAGUCGUAACUUUUAAAAUAUUUUUUAGAAACUUUCUCUAGAGCCUCCACCACAUGGCCACAGCCUGAGACUUUGAAAUAAUGAAACAAUUAAAUGAUGUUUUCAUCAUUUCUGAGACUUGCCCAUUAUCACGAAGCUGAAAUGGCCAUUUUUUUAUAAGUCAAGGAAGGACAGGCAGUUUCAAAUGAGUUGGCUAAGACAUACGCCAAAUUCAUAGAAAAUAGAAAUGAACUAUGACUACAGAAUGGAAGCAACCACAGAAAUAUUAGCAGGAUUUUAAGUAUUAUCCCAAUCAAGUACUAAUAGCUAAGUGAGGUCAUUUUUUGGAUACCAUUCCUGGUCAAAGCUAGGAAUGAUGUGUGUUCCAGGCUGGACCCUCCAGGCAGAGGCACCGGGAUCCCACGCUGUUUCUGGGUUGGCCAUUAACCUGCCCCUUGACCUGACAGCGUUUCUCUCUCUUCUCUCUCUACACUUCUCUUCUGAUCUUUAGAUCGAUUUUCCUCCAAGUGACAAUGUCCAUAAAGAGAGAGGGAGGUGGAAAUACAGGCUGUCACAUUUCAGCUCUUUGAGGUGCCUCUAAAGAUGAUGUCAGAGAACAGUAAGUGGCCCACAAAUGUGCAGCAUCUGUUCCGAGCCUCCUGAAGCCGCCCGGACAGGCAGCAGUACGACCCUGCAAGGCCACAGGGGAGCCAGGGGGUUCUCGCUUUCUUUUUCUUUUAAUUAUUUCCUCUCAAAAAAGAAAAAAAAAAAAGAAAAGAAAGAAAAAAAGCCCUGCUGGGAUAGAACUUAUUGAGUUCAGAAUGUUCCAGGGCACAUAAUCAGGCUGCCCUUGUUCCAAGACACUGCUGUGCUCUGUAGCUGACCCCCGAGUCCUCUAGGGCAAGAGUAAGGACACAGUCGGCUCCCGAAAGCUGGUGCAGAUGGACCCCACCACGCAGGGCCUGGAGUUGGGCCAGACCUGCAGACCCCCUUGAUGGCCUGCGGCAGGACCCUUCACCUGGGUCAAGGCCUCCUGGUGCUCCUAGGGGCCUCUUGAGGAGCCUGGGCACCAGCAUUUGCCUUUGAGGACAGGACUGAGGGCCUGCAUUUUGCACGAAUGUACCUGAAAUGUUUGCUCUGGAUUUACCUUUCCAAUGGUGCCUAUGCAGGAAUCCCAAAGAAUGCCUGGUGGGGUCUGAGGCGGGUCUCAGGCCGGGAGCCCUCCACAGGCAGCAAUAUUUGGCUAGAAUUUAAUGCCAUUUUGUUUCUUUUUAUCUAUUUUUAUGGUGACCUCUUUGUGGUAAUUGACACUGACUUUUUAAAAAAUAAACUUAC